rnacentral:tRNA from 2 species
UGGCAUCCCGUAGGGGAUUCGAACCCCUGUUGCCGCCGUGAAAGGGCGGUGUCCUAGGCCUCUAGACGAACGGGAC